GACGAACGCUGGCGGCAUGCUUAACACAUGCAAGUCGAACGGUAAGGCCGUUCGGGGUACACGAGCGGCGAACGGGGGAGUAACACGUGGGUGAUCUUCCCUGCACUUCGGGAUAAGCCUGGGAAACUGGGUCUAAUACCGGAUGUGACCUCCUAUCGCAGGGUUGGUGUGGGAAAGAGUUAACUGUGCAGGAUGGGCUGGCGGCCUAUCAGCUUGGUGGUGGGGUAAUGGAAUACCCAGGCGACGACGGGUAGCAGAGCUGGGAGGGUGACCGGCCAAACCAGGACUGAGACAAGGCCCAGCCUAGUCCGGGAGGGAGAGGUGGGGAAUAGUGCACAAUGGGCGAGAGGAUGAUGUAGCGAAGCCGCGCGAGGGAUGAGGGGAAUCGGGUUGUAAUCCAAAUCUCGCAGGGACGGAGCGAAAGUGACGGUACCUGCAGAAGAAGCACCGGCUAACUACGUG
rnacentral:rRNA from 1 species